AUACACUUUUACAGACACAUCCAGCUGAUCCAGGACUUCAAAUUGCCAGCUGAGCCUACACUACACUAUGCUCCUGGAGAGGACUGUUUCACCUUUACACUGCCGUCCCCCUCCUGCUGCCUAGGUUUGGAGCCUGGACUUCUGCCCAAACGCCCCUUAAAGGAAGGAACUAUUUACUUUUUCUCCUUUUCCUGCCUUUUUGCUGCAUUAAUCUGUGAAGAAAUUAAAUACCACCCCACUGUUUGCUCUCUGUGCCUCUUCUUCUGUGUCCCAUCUCUCUGUCUCUCUCUAUAUAUAUUUAGUUUCUGUCAACAGACUGUUAAUGAUUUAUUUCUCCAUUUUCUUUAUUAAGACAGUUCACAUGAGCCUCUUCUCAAAGCCAGCUGUGUUCCUAACUUGACACAACUUAGAUGAAGGAUUCAGAGGCUCUUGAGAAGAUAGAAUAAAUGCUGGAAUCUGGUGAGAAGAUGGAUGGUGAGGUGGAGGAUGACUUUCAUCUUGGCUAUUCUGGAGAAUUAGAAGAAUAUCAUAAUGAGCUGGAGGAAGAUCUUCAGCAAACCAAAGAUGAGUCGAUGGCUGUCAGCCGUUGUUGUCAUCCAGGCCAUUCCAGUGGAAUGCUGGAGGCUUCAUCCGCUCUUUAGAUGGCAUGCU